GACGAACGCUGGCGGCGUGCCUAACACAUGCAAGUCAACUUGACUGAAGGAGCAAUCUGACAGUAGAGUGGCGCAAGGGUGCGUAACGCGUAAGUAACUUGCCCAAGGUAAGGAAUAACGUCGAGAAAUCGGCGCUAAUACCUCAUAAUGCAGCGGAUCCGCAUGGAUAUGUUGUUAAAGGUUUACCGCCUUGGGAUAGGCUUGCGUCUGAUUAGCUAGUUGGUGUGGUAACGGCACACCAAGGCUACGAUCAGUAACUGGUCUGAGAGGAUGAUCAGUCACACUGGAACUGAGACACGGUCCAGACUCCUACGGGAGGCAGCAGUGAGGAAUAUUGGGCAAUGCUCGAAAGAGUGACCCAGCAACGCCGCGUGGAGGAUGAAGGUAUUCUAUAUCGUAAACUCCUGUGAGAGCAGACGAAAGACAGAUUAUAAUCUGGAUGACUGUAUGCUCAGAGGAAGCCCCGGCUAACUACG
rnacentral:rRNA from 1 species